UACGGGGGGGGGCAAGCGUUGUUCGGAAUUACUGGGCGUAAAGGGCGCGUAGGCGGCUCGGCACGUCCGUUGUGAAAUCGCCCGGCUCAACUGGGCGGGGUCAGCGGAUACGGCCGAGCUGGAGCAAGCUAGGGGGUAAUGGAAUUCCCGGUGUAGUGGUGGAAUGCGUAGAUAGUCGGGAGGAACACCAGUGGCGAAGGCGGUUACCUGGAGCUUUGCUGACGCUGAUGCGCGAAACGUGGGGAGCGAGCCGG
rnacentral:rRNA from 1 species